rnacentral:misc_RNA from 1 species
CGCAAUGAGUGAAGCGGGGAAAAAAGAUGGACGCCUUAACGUUAGGCUCGCACAGACUGGUUCAUCUUGAUUUCAAGGGCGCGCCGCCACGCAUUUGUUACUUCGAAAAGCUUUUUCCGCUGUUGCGAACAUGGGGAGCCACUGGAUUAUUAUUGGAAUGGGAGGAUACAUUUCCUUACAACCGAGAACUUUCUCCAGUGGGGAGCAAUGGGCCGAGCAGUUUAGCGAGUGGAUAUACGAUUCAAGAGGCUAGACAUAUCCUGCAGAUAGCAGGCGAUUGCGGCUUAGCAGUGGUCCCAUUAGUGCAAACCUUUGGUCAUAUGGAGUUUAUCCUGAAACACGAUGAAUGGAGGUCGUUGCGAGAAGUAGAGGCUUUUCCAAGUUCCAUCUGUCCGUCAAAUCCGCGAACUCUUCCAGUUGUUAAGUCCUUGAUACGUCAAAUUGUUAGUUUUCAUCCUGACAUACAGUAUCUGCAUAUAGGCUCCGAUGAAGUGUGGCACUUGGGUCUUUGCUCAGUUUGUACCAAGCGAGCCGCAGCCAGCAAAUAUGGCAAAUCUUCAUUAUACCUGGAACACAUUCUGGCAAUAGCUCAAUACAUUCAGGAGACCUAUCCAUACUUGAAGAUUAUCAUCUGGGAUGAUAUGUUGAGAUCCAUAGACUUACAGGUUUUGAACGAACAUUACAUUGGUAAAUAUGUCGAGCCCAUGGUGUGGCAUUACAAUCCCAGGGAUAACUUUGCUUUGCCCGAUGGAAUGUGGGAUAAAUACAGCGCUGUCUUUCCUUACAUCUGGGCGGCAACGGCGUUCAAAGGAGCCACUGGUUCGACACAGCAUGUGCCCGUAAUUCGGCACCAUAUAAGCAACCACGAGAAGUGGUUGGAGGAGUUGGGGGUUCACGUGAGUAAGGUGCACGAAUUUCGAGGUACAGCAUUCACCGGUUGGUCGAGGUAUGAUCAUUACGCCACGAUGUGUGAAUUGCUGCCCACGGCGAUACCGUCGUUGGCCAUGUGUCUAAAAGUUUGGCUCUACGGCUAUUCGGAACAGACGCAUACACAAGUCUCAAAGAGUCUGGGAUACAUCGAUCAUCCGCUACACAUAACCCCACAGCUUCGCCCGGUUUCCAUACCUAGCAACCUACUCUUUCCCGGGUGGCAAGUGGCUGUGGGUAUGGAGUGGUUUCUUAACUUCAAGGCGAAAUUUCACAACAUCGUCACCAGCGAUCAAAUUAUGACAUGGAUGAAUCCGUGGCAAGUGGCAAAUAAUUACACAAAUCCCAUGCAAUUGGAAAAUUUGAUACCUGCUUUUACAGAAUUGUUAUUGGAAUUGUCUUCUUUGGAGGGUUAUUUGCGAGUUCAAAUGGAAGCAAUUUUCUUCUCAUCGAUGAUCGAGGAAUGGAUAGGUACCAAUGUUCAGCCGAUGAAAUUCAAGUUGAUAGAACUGAAACAGACCACAGAGAAUCAGUUGAAGAUAAAUAGUCGUGUGUAAUGCUUGUUAAAAAAUUGGUUCGAUCAAUUCUAAAUAAUAUAUCGCAAAAAAUUCCAUCAGAAGAGGCUCUAACAAAUGAUCACUGAUAACUGGAUAAUCGACUGUUUCUUGGACGUAGAGAGAAAUUAUUUUUGUAUAUAGUAAGACGCUGCAUAUACAAAACGUCGGAUGGUCUACUACUUUGAUGUUGAUCUAUUUUUAAAGAAGCAUCGCUUAAAAGAAAAAAAAAUAGUUUCCUAGAGAAGAAGAAGAAGGGGUUAUAUUAUUUUAAUAUUGGAUAUAAAAAAGCAAGAGAAACUUUGUCGAUAUGUGAGAUGCUCUGUGAUACUUGGCCAUGAAAGGCUUGUUCUGCCAUGCCACAAGCUAAGAAACACGACGAACAAGAGGCUUUAAAAUUGGAUGAACACUUUAAGCAAAUUUUGACGCACGUCAGACCGUACGUGUUAAACUUGACGUCGGUGGAUGAGGCAUAUUUGUGCAAGAUCUGGCUCGAUAAGCUGAAUUCCACUAUUUCGCAACGUAAUUUGAGAAAUGAAUAUCUGUUAGAACUCUCCCGACAGUUAAGAGCAGGCAUACUCGAAGGAAUAUUCAAGACUCGGCCACCUAAUGACUUGUUAAUACCGUUACCAUCACCUUGUCACACGGUUUAUAUUAACUCAUCUUUAAGUGAAUUGUCGGACUCUAGCAGAAGCUAUCAGAAAUGCUUGUCUCUAAACGAAAAGUUGAACCAAAGAAAUCAUCAGCUAAACGAAAUAAAUGUUUAUGAUGACAGUGCGAUAGAAAAGAAUCACUCAAAAUUUUGCGAGCAUCGUAUUGAUAUAUUGACCGCUGCACUCCAAAAUCUCCGUAUCGAAAACGUCCAAUUAAGGGGAGAGUUAACCAAAUAUCAAGAAAAAUCCGUGGACAACAAACCAUUUCGAUUGCAAAAUCGCGUUAAACAGCUGACAGCUCAAACACAAAUUCAAAAUCUUGGGUGGAAAGUUCGAGUGCUCAAAAAAACUAUCACAAAACUGAAAAAGUUGAACAAAAUCACAAAGCAUGUUUAUGAAAAGAAGUUGCAGCAUCUUAUGAAA